CAUACAGGGAACAAAAAAGGUAUAUGGCUUAAGGCAAGAGCUUGGGGACAGUUACCUGUCACAGAGAGCUGGGCAGACACCACUGUCCCUUUUCUGAAGCAUGCCCCCGCCCCCAGAGCCACAGAGCCAGCAGCAGGUGCCAUGUCUGAGACUCCAUCAACCUGGCUAACACUGUAUGCCCCACCCUGGAGGUUCUGUCCCACCUAGGCUACAGCUGUUACCAGUGGCUUUUUUCAUAUGAAUGGCUGGUCUUGGCUCAAGCUUUACAACUUAUUGUUGUGCAACCAAACACAGAGGUUUGUUUUUACUUAUUUAGUCACCUAGAAUAUGAAGAGUAACAUAUAGUCAUUUUAUUUUAUAAGUUCCACAUAUGCACCCAUUAAAAUUAACUAUAAGCAUGUUUUAUUAUGUGACAUCUUCUAUAUUUUAAAUGAAGUAAUUCUGCAGUACUAAUACUGAAUAAUGAAUGAAACAUCCAGUUAUCAAAGUCGUCAUUAAAGUAACUCCUGCCAUGUUGUUUCAUUUGGUCAACCAUACACACAAAUGUUUCAUCACACUGUUAGUAUUAUGCAUGAAUGCCUAUUUUACUACAGGUAGAGAAACGCGUUAAAAUCUUUCCAGCCCUGGCCAGUGUGGCUCAGUAGGUUGGGCCCUGUCCUGCGAAGAGUCGCAGAUUCUAUUCUAAUCUGGGCACAUGCCUGGGUUGCAGGUUAGGUCCUGGUCAGGGCGCACUUGAGAGGCAACCAACUGCUGUUCUCUCCCUCUCCUUCUCCCUUCCUUCCUCUCUCUAAAAAUAAAUUUAAAAAAUUUUUUGAAAAAAACUAGUUUUAAUCUUUCCAAAAUCUUAGUUUUCCUUUACACAACACAAUUCACCAUGUGACAAAGAAUGAAAGGUCAUAAUCCAUCAUUUUGAUAUCAAAUGACAAAGGAACUAUGAAAAUAUAUUUGAUUUAAAUGUUUAUGAAAUGAUCAUUUUAAAGGUUUUUUUCUGCCAUCACAAUAAUAUAAGGAAUUCAGAGCUACUCAAUUGUGAUAAAUUACACUAGAAUCCAUAAAGAAUUUUCUUCUAUGUUUAGUCUAGUUUCUUUAAGAAUAAGUUAUUCUUAGCUCAAUAUAGGAAUUGAAAUAAUAAAUCUCCAGUUAGGUCAGCAACUGAUUCACCCUAGGUUAUCCAUAUUACUACUUCAUCUACACAUUAUUUUAUACAACUUGCUAGUCUUUUUAAAAAUAGACAGAUAAACCCUUUUCUGAGACUCCUCUCAAAAAUCAAAGCCAACCAAAAUAAAAGCCUUCCUUCUUUUUGCUUCUAAUACCACCUUGGUACUAUUUCUAUCAUGGCAGAAAUCACACUUGCUUCAUUUAUUCCUAUUCAUCAGCAGUAAACUUUAUAAGGUUAGGGGACUGUGUUUUGUUCAUUCCCCACCCCCACCCCCCGAAAUCUCAGCAGUCUAUAACAUACUGUGUGCUCACUAUGUUUCCUUUGAGGAAAUAUUCAGGUGUGAGGGCAUGAAUACAUGCUUACACAGAACCAUUACAUAAGGUAAAGCUCAGAACAAUCCAACCAUACAAUAUCUUAACAAAUAUCUUGUCUUCCAUUAUGUCAGCACAAAAUAGUGAUAGGAUAAAUUUCAAGAAGUGCCAAAAUAACUUAAUCCCUAACACAUUUUUCAAGUACGAAGAACAGGGUAUACUUAAACCAUCCUCCCUCUUUGUUUAUAAUAUCACUAUGUCAUUUUGAGGGCACAUAAACAUGGUGUAUGGUAAAUAUACAUAUAAAAAUAUUAAAUUACUUGCAGCACUGUAAUAUUCCUUCUGCAUAUAUCUUCUAUCAGGGUUAGUCCUUCACUGUAAAAGUAAAGUUAGCUGUGACAGGAACAUUUAGCAACCAAUAGUCCAUCUGUCACUUACCUCUUUGUUGGUAUUUUGAAUAAAUAACUUUGUUUUUUAAUUUCCUAAUUUUUCAGUUGAGAAUUAGUACUAUAAGAAAUGCUUUAAAAGUUGCUACAAUGUUUGGGUAAUGUCUUCAGAAGAAGUUCUUGCUGUCUAAUUACAAAACUGGAUUAUGACUUUAGCAGUCUUCACUGAAUUCAGGUAUGUAAAUGACUUCAAUAAACAUCAGAACCACUACCAGCAGACUAUUUUUUAGUUAUUUGUUCACUCAUGUCCCAGAAAAUGACUAUGUUUUUGAAUGAUCUGGAUUCUACUACUUUUGCACACUUACGCUGAAUAAAAGCCUGGAAGUAUUUAAAUUUGAUGUGCUGGUAUUAAAAUGAUGUUUGUUUAUAACACUCAUCUAAAGCACAUUUAAGCAGACAUGAGUUUUGAUAAUGAGAGAGAGGACAUCAUUAAAGACUCUACAGAGAGUAAAAGAAUAAAGUAAAAACAACUCUAUGUUAAAAAGUUCAGGAAUUCAGAUGAAACAGGCCAACUCCUUGAAAUACAUAAACUAUCAAAAGAAAAUAACCUGAAUAGUCUAACAGCUAUUAAAGAAAUUGGGUUCAUAGUUUUAAAAUAUUCUAGCAAAGAAAACUCCAGGCCUGGAUGGUUUCACUGACUGCAGCAAGCCAACCUGAGAUAACAGAGAGACAGCAUUAAGGCAAAGCAGGAACGGCACUGUUUACUGUAGCAGCCACCAGCCAUAUAUAGUUCCUGAGCCCUUGAAAUGUCAUUAAUCCCAACAGAGAUGUGUUAUGUUGUACUUUUGCUGUGUAUAAUGCGCACUUUUUUGCCCAAAUUUUUAAGG